AGGCAACCCGCGGGCCGAGACGGGGUAGUGAGGGCCGGAAGCCCGGCUCCCGACUCCGCUUCGUCCCCACAACCUCCGGCCGCCUGAAGUCCUGAGGGGCCGUGGCCCUGGGUCGUCUCCCCUGUUCCCAGCCUCCAGUCGCAGCUGGCGGAGAGAAGUUCCCGAGGCCCCCCCGACUUGCAAGGAGGCCGACCCAAGUCUCCCUGCUGUCAUUUCAGGAGGCCGAAUUUUUUCCCAAUCCCAGAGAAGGUGUCAGAGGCCUGGAGCUUCCCUUUCCAUCUCCAGGGCUACUGAGAAAAUGUUGGACAGAGGAAGGAAGGCAGGGCAGGGCCAGGCUGCAGCUAGCAUCUGGACUGUUGGCUAAUGCUGGUGAUGGCGCAGAAGACCCUUGCCCCCUUUUACAGCUUCUCCCCUAGAAGCCUGGCCCAGAUGCCUGAAUUCCCACCUUUCAUGCACUUAGCCCUGGGGCUUGCAGUUUUGCCAGGUCCUUACUGCCUCCUCCCUCCUGUGGCCUGCCCGGAGGGGCACACAAGCAAAGCCAGUGCCUCUGUGGACAGGCAGCUUAAGACAUUAGGAGACAAAUGAAGGAAGGAGGCAAAACUUCCAAGGCCGGACUAUCUCCUCUGGACCAGAGUUUCGGCCUGCUGGGAAUGGAGUCACCAGCCCCGGGGGGGCUGACAGGUGGCUCCCGCCUACAGAGCUGUAACUCAUCCCUGCUGCUGAACAGGAAAGGGCCUGCCUUACCCAGAUCCCAUCCUCCGGAAAGGGUUAGUCAGGCAAGUGUGCUGAGAGGCCCCUGGGAACCUCGUCUCGAUUAACCCAUCAGAAAGCAGCCCAUCCUUUGCACCCAGCUCUCAGAUGGAAAAGUGAAGCCCAGAAGGAAGGGACCUGACACGGAGGCUUCCUUGGUAGCAUUUCAGUCUCAAGGGAAGAACUGUGGGCCUCCCCUGGAGCACUGGUGAAGUAAGGGGUUGGUUUGGAUAUUGUCUCCUGACUGGGAUAUGGGCAGGACUGACAGGGAGCUGGAGUCCUAACGAAGCCUGGGCUAGGUGCAGGAAGAACCAACCCAGUGGUCUCCUGACAUCUCCCACGCCCCCACCGCAGCUGGGUCACCUCCAGAAUACGGAGGAGAGAGCUGGAGGUGGAGGAACUAAGGACCUUCUUUGCCAGGUGGGGACUUAAAGUUUCAGUUACUCAUUGUUGGGGCUCAGAAACCAAUACCCCGAAAUAUAGUGGUGUGACAUUCUGAACUGAAGAAGCCUUAAGGUCUCUCCGACCAGACUCCCACAGGCCCCCCAACCCUUUGUCUCUUCCAAAGCAUACAGUGAAGUUGUUCUCUGAAGUUCCUCAUCUGCCUUAAGUCUGGACCCACCAAAGAAGAAAACAAUGACCACUGGUCCCUUCCCGGAGUUUUCUCUGACUGAACUGCUGUCACAGGAAGAAAGACUGAAGCCUGCUCACAUACCUGGACAGAUUUUGCAAACCGUUGUCUGCUCUGUGAGCCCAACAGACUUUGUCCCAGGCCACUGUAUGUUCUUCAAGCCCACUGAAUUCCCCUGAAAAUCAUUUACUAGCCCCCUGAAAUUACCCACACUUCCCCAUUGCUCAUCUGUACCCCAUUUCGUGGUGGGGCAGUCACUCUGAUUUCCCCUUGCAUGCUAAUGAAUGUGUAUUCCAUUUCUAUUCUGCUUUCAUGAGCUGACUUUUCAGUGAACCUUCAGAGGGUAAAGGGGAAGUUUUCCCUUGGCCCCUGCACCGCAAUUGGUAAGGUCCAAAAUGUUAAAUGGAAAAUUCCAGAAAUAGCUGGUCGUGAUGGCUCCUGCCUGUAAUCCCAGCACUUUGGGAGGCCGAGGUAGGUGGAUAGCUUGAAGUCAGGAGUUCGAGACCAGCCUGGCCAACAUGGUGAAACCCUGUCUGUACUAAAAGUACCAAAAUUAGCUGGGCGUGGUGGCGCACGCCUGUAGUCCCUGCUACUUGGGAGGCUGAGGCAGGAGAAUCACUUGAACCUGGGAGGCAGAGGUUGCAGUGAGCAGAGAUCGCACCACCACUCCAGCCUGGAUGACAGAGUAAGACUCCGUCUCAAAAAAAAAAAAAAAAGAAAAUUCUAGAAAUAAACAAUUCAUGUUUUAAAUAAC
rnacentral:lncRNA from 1 species